rnacentral:lncRNA from 1 species
UGCAGCUGCUGCUGGGGAUAGGGGUGAGGUUCCCAGGUCAGUGGAGUUAUGUUCCUAGGAGGAUUGUGGAUGCCUCUGCUGAGUCGUGCAGGUUGUCAGGGAAGUUGGGGAAAGUCAGUAGUCACAGGUCUCACCCAGCUCCCACGCAAUCGAAAGGGCUGGUCUCACUUCCACCAUGCUCCCCCUAACAGCACCAAGCCUGUUUCCAGGCAGUGGGCAAGCAGGCCUGAGAACUUGCCCCAGGCUACCCACCUCCCAGCUGCAACAGAAAGUAGGACUUUAGUUCUUUCCCUGCCUGUGGAGUCUGCAUGCUGGAGGAUUCGUGCCCUCCCCAAGUUCUGGCCAGGAGGCUUCUCCGCCCAUUCAAAUUGUUACAAAGUUCAGCUGGGGAUUUCCUUCUCCUUGUGGCGUUUUCCCCACACCUCUGGCCACCCUCCUGAAGGAUCCCUGUGAUGACAGGCAGGAAUGGCCUGCUUGGGGACCCAGCAAGCUCACAGGGCCUUUCCUGCUGCUUCCUCUACUCCUGUAUUUCACUCAGCUGUCUACGUUGACUCAGCUCCAGGGGGUACUCCAUACUACUAGCUGCCCAGCCUGCAUCACCCCAGACAUCAGGAGUGGCUGCUCACAGAAGACCAAGGCAGAUUGGAAUAAUGGAACCCCUUCAUCAAGACCCCUCUGCACCGUCUCUUAGUCCUAGUACCUUGAGAGAGUCGUUUACGCUCUUGGAGUGUCCCUGCAUUUUUAAAGGUGUUAGCAUGAAGAACAAGGCAAUAGACAUAGACAAGGAAGCUGUUAUGAGCACAGAUCUCAUGGGAAAAGCAAAACUUUCUGCUGUUUUUGUUCAGAAAUACAGAAAUUUUCAGGAAGAUCUUUUAUGAAGGUGAUAACACUAGGGUCCCUACUCAGGACACCAGCUGAACAGACAAGAUUUCCCUGUUACUUGUGGUUUGGUCUGUUAAGCACAAUCCCACCUCGAUGCUGCCAUUAGGCAGAUAGUUUAUGCGUCUCUCCAAACUUCCCAGUGGAGACCUUUAUUUUCAGACUUGGAGGACUGGGAGUGUGGAGCACAGAGGAAAAAGAACGUGAAGUUCUGACUAAUUACGAGCUGGGGGAGGGAUGAAGCAGUGAGAAAAUGGUGAUUUUGACUGUGAAAAGUUCAACUGAAUUAAAUUUAAACUUUUAAAAGAAGGAAUCUACAAAUGUUAGACAACUAUGUAAGGGAGUAUUUAGUUCUGAGUUGGUUUAAAACCCAUUCUUCAUCCAGUACCCGUAACAAACAACAGAAAAAGCAUGCUGACAUUUCUUAGCAAAAACUGAUAAAAUGAGUCUAACCACAAUGACAUUUUUCCAGCUGGCAUAAUCAUGAGUCAUUCCUUUCUCUGAGGACUUAAUGUCACCACAAAAGCCUCUAACUUCCCCAUAUUUAUCAUUUGGAAAUGAAAACUGUUUACUUGUCAUGCAUGC